rnacentral:rRNA from 1 species
AAACUAACAAGGAUUCCCCUAGUAACGGCGAGUGAAGUGGGAAAAGCUCAACUUUGAAAUCUGGCACCUUCGGUGUCCGAAUUGUAGUCUCUAGAAGUGUUUUCCGUGCUGGCCCAUGUGUGAGUCUGUUGGAACACAGCGUCAUAGAGGGUGACAACCCCGUUCAUAACAUGGACCCCAGUGCUUUGUGAUACACUCUCGACGAGUCGAGUUGUUUGGGAAUGCAGCUCAAAUUGGGUGGUAAAUUCCAUCUAAAGCUAAAUAUUGGCGAGAGACCGAUAGCAAACAAGUACCGUGAGGGAAAGAUGAAAAGCACUUUGGAAAGAGAGUUAACAGUACGUGAAAUUGCUAAAAGGGAAACGAUUGAAGUCAGACGUGCGUGGUGCGGUUCAGCUCUGGUUCGCCAGAGUGUAUUCCGUGCCUUUGCAGGCCAACAUCGGUUUCACGAGGCGGAUAAAGGUUUGAGAAAUGUGGCACCUUCGGGUGUGUUAUAGUCUCUUGCUGAAUACGCCUCGAGGGACCGAGGAACGCAGCGCGCCGCAAGGCAAAGCCUCUGGGCUUUUCGCGCUUAGGAUGUUGGUGAAAUGGCUUUAAACGAC